rnacentral:tRNA from 1 species
AUUUUUGAAUUCUCGAGUUUAGGUUCGAUUCCUGCAAUUCUAG